rnacentral:tRNA from 1 species
GCCCCGAUGGCGGAAUUGGAAGACGCACCGGCCUCAGAAGCCGGGGACGAAAGUCAUGAGAGUUCGAGGCUCUCUUGGGGCCCCA